UACGAAGGGGGCUAGCGUUGCUCGGAAUUACUGGGCGUAAAGCGCACGUAGGCGGGUCGCUAAGUCGGGGGUGAAAUCCUGGAGCUCAACUCCAGAACUGCCUUCGAAACUGACGAUCUUGAGUUCGGGAGAGGUGAGUGGAACUGCGAGUGUAGAGGUGAAAUGCGUAGAGAUCGGCAGGAACACCAAGGACGAAGGUAACCACCUGGGCAUCAGCUGACACUCAUGUGCGACAGCGUGGGGAGCGAACCGG
rnacentral:rRNA from 1 species